UUUGAGCGUGAACAACAAGUAAAGACCUAGGCUACAAGAGAUGUCGGUAUGUUCGCUAGUCUAGCGACCUAAAUCUAAACUAGUUGAGUCGCAGCUCGAUUAGUAAAAACGGAAAAAGAUGCCUAAAUUGCUCUAAGUGCUAAGUUACUCUGAUGUGCUCUUCUCUCCUCCCUCUUCGUCCUAGGUCCUCCUUAUAUACUCCUCCUUAGGUUGGUUUACCUCUUCUUGGGCCAGAUUUGUCGCGAAGUGGGCUUUUUCUUAUUGCCUUCUUCUUUGUGAUUAUCUUCGGAAAUUUGACAUUUAUCUCUUCCCGCGGAUGAGAUAAACCGUCAUACCAGUCUUUGGGCUCAAAUAUUUUGGGACCAUAGAUGGG
rnacentral:lncRNA from 1 species